CGCCUUGUUAAGAUCAAGAAAAUGGAACUAAGAACUCGAUUUGUAGUCUUCCUUCUUGUAGCUUCGUUAAUAUUUGUUAAUGUGGAAGGACUGACUGUAGGUCUUGGUGAUUUGGAAGGAAAAAGAGUUCUCUCCUCUCGUAAUUAUCAGGAUCGUCCACACAGCCUACAUAGGCUUUGUCAAGUCGUUCAAAACUAUUGUACUGAAACAAGUCGAUACUUAGCAGAAAAUGGAAACGACCGCUGACUGGUACUACUAUCAAUAUGGGAUUCUUUCACCAAUAACUUUAACUUCAACACCCUGACAUUCUAUGGGCAGUUUGCUAACAAUUAUUUAGUUUUGCUGAAAUGCGUUUCUCGGGUGUUCGGGCAAGUUUAUGAAACCAUUUCGCAGCCUUAUAGAGCUAGGGAAAGCUAGAAUAGAAAAUACCACGAGAGUAAUAGACAAAAAACAUUAAAAUGAAAUAAUCAAAAAAAAAAAAGAAUUUUUGUAUAGCGAUUGUCUUACAUGCACAGGUGGCAAGAAAGAGGAAGCCUUCUAACUCAGUCCCAUAUUUUUAUUUGAAUUGUUAAGUAAAGACACCAUCUUUUCUUUUGUUUAUACUGAAUUAAUUAAACUUAAAAGAAUCUAAUAUAAAAUCUAAAACAACCAACAGACAUAUAAAAGGUUAAUUAAUAUCAAUAUUUUUGUUUACACUUGCUUAGUAUAAACUAAAAGAGGCCGAAUUACUUUAAUUCGCUUUUAACUUGAUAUCACUCCCUCUAGCUGCGAAAAUUGAAAUUCGUAUUAAGGCAGGUCUCAAAAGCAACGCUAUAUAAAUAAUAUUAAAUCAAUAGAAUUAACAGGCAAUUAAAAAGGUUAAUAAAACGUAAACUGAAAAA